ACACCCAUCAGACAUGAAAAAAUUCCCCAGGGAAAGCUUUGGUUUCUCCAAUUGAGAGAUAUGCAGUUGUUCCUGAUGACAACGUCAAAAGGAUAAAUUUUGCCGAGGGGAAGAUCUGAUUCUAGAAGUAAGGAAUUUGGAGCUUGAUUUUUGAAAUAGGCUCAAAAUUGAGAUCUUGUUGGAAAUUUUUUAUUUUUUAUUUCUUGUAAGAGCAUUUAAAUAUCCAAUGUG